CGGGAUGUGGCGCAGUUGGUAGCGCACUACGUUCGGGACGUAGGGGUCGCUGGUUCAAGUCCAGUCAUCCCGACCA
rnacentral:tRNA from 3 species